UCGGGAAUUUUGGGCAAUGGGCGAAAGCCUGACCCAGCAACGCCGCGUGAAGGAUGAAGUAUUUCGGUAUGUAAACUUCGAAAGAAUAGGAAGAAUAAAUGACGGUACUAUUUAUAAGGUCCGGCUAACUACGUGCCAGCAGCCGCGGUAAUACGUAGGGACCAAGCGUUGUUCGGAUUUACUGGGCGUAAAGGGCGCGUAGGCGGCGUGGUAAGUCACUUGUGAAAUCUCCGAGCUUAACUCGGAACGGUCAAGUGAUACUGCUGUGCUAGAGUACAGAAGGGGCAAUCGGAAUUCUUGGUGUAGCGGUGAAAUGCGUAGAUAUCAAGAGGAACACCUGAGGUGAAGACGGGUUGCUGGGCUGAUACUGACGCUGAGGCGCGAAAGCUAGGGUAGCAAACGGGAUUAGAUACCCCAGUAGUCCCUGAGCGGGCUGGCAAGGCGCAU
rnacentral:rRNA from 1 species